AGUCAGAUAGAGAUUUCAUAAGCAACGGCGAAAAUCAUGAUGCAGAUCCAGGAAUUUUCACCUUUCCAAAGGCCUUUACAGAUCGACUGUGUAAGAAUUUAAGAAGUUUUCCAACGGGAAGAAAGAACUGCUACAUUCUGCGGCCUGAACAGGGAAAAAAUCAUAAUUACUUCAUCAGAGCUUUCUUUUGUUAUGAAAAUUACGAUGGCAAUGAUCAACCUCCAACGUUUGAUGUGCACAUAGGGGUUAACCAUUGGAUGACAGUUAAUAAUCUAAAUCGUAAUGGGUGGAAUUUUGGCGAGAUCUUUCAUUUUUCUUCAACUGGAAUUAUUCAUGUGUGCCUUGUAAACAAAGGCUUAGGAGUACCUUUCAUUUCAGCAUUG
rnacentral:misc_RNA from 1 species